CCCCCCCCCCUUACGCCGCGAUCCCGGAGGACCAGCUCCCUGCCCCUCCUCUCACAGGGCGGUGCGGCGGUGACGAAGACCGCCCCGCGGCCGCGCUCCGGCGACCUGGAGCUAGUAGGCGCGGGCGCCGGGUGGGAGGGUGGCGUGGGCGAGCGGGAAGGGACAGUCUCCCAGCCUGAAGCGCGAACGAGAUGGGAGGUGGAGGACGUCCUGGGCCCAGAGAACUUCAGAAGCAGAAAAGCUGGAGGAUGAAAACCACAGGUCGUGGUGAUGUGAAAUGCUGGGGGGCGGAAAGGGGCUGGAAUUGGAGAGUCUGACUGGCUCUGCUUGACAGUUAUCACGAGAUCACAAAAAUGUGAUGUGUUUAUGACUGGAAAAAAUCUGUACUUUUCAGAGCGAGCUGGAGGCAUCCCAUUCCCCGCUUCUAGCGUGGGCUCUUGCCCUGAUGCCCUGAUGGUUGAUAAUCUCUUACUAAUUGCCCCCAAAUCCCCUCCCCCCCCCCCCCAAACAGUAUAUACUUACUGCAAGCAUUUAGACAUUGCUUAGACUUUGGGUGCAAGAUUGGGAAUACCCAGAGAUAAAGACAGGCCCCUGCAGGGGCUUACAUAGCAAUCCCAAGAGUCAGCACUUUGUUUUGUGGACAAUUGAAAAUCAUCCCAAAGACUUGGCCUUUUAGCAAUCUCACGUUGAAAUGGUUGCAUGGAUAAACUAGUUAAGGGGCCCUUUUUUAUUGCAAGUGGAAGAUAAUGACAGCUUGAACAGCUGUACAGCAGAAAGAGGACUGUAGAUCCAGGAAAUAAUGGGUAUCCAGAAUCGGAGGGGUAAAUACAAGAGCAGCAGGUCAAAGUGUGAUUUCAGGACUGAGCAUGUGGGAAGGCACUCCUUUAUGUGAUAUUCAACGUGUACCAAGGGAAAAGAGUCAUUUACUUAAGUCACGGAAUGAAGGAGCUGAACUCUGAAUAAAGAGAUUGUAAAAAUUACUAAUGAAAAUACAAAGAUUUUUCUUGAGAGAAUAUUUUAAACAUAUUAUCCUCCAAGAAAUACAUCAAUCAGAAAAGUAAUGAACAACCAUUAAAAACUUAAAGUCAUAAUCCAUGUAAAUGUUUAGAAACCAGAUAGAGAUAGCAGCAAAAAUUAAAAUUAAAGUUAUUUAACAGUGUGAAUUCUUUAAAUUAAUAUAUAUACAUUGCCAUCAAUUUUAACAGAUUAAUAACAAGAAUAAAGACACAGAUAAUCUAGCAUAUGAUAUUUGGUUGGUUUUUUUCUAUUUUUCCUUUUAUUAAAGAGAGCUUGUUAAAUGAAUGAAACAUAAUUUAAUUUCAUAUCUAUAGCUUCUAAUAAAAUUAGUUUACAUUAUCAGAAAAAGAAUUCACUAUCAGACAAUGUGUCCAGAAUUUUGAUUCAUACACUCAUCAUUGUAGAAGCAGAGAGGAGGGAAUGACUAAAUUUUGCCUGGGGAAGUCUUUCACAAAGGACGUGACUUUCCAGCUGGCUCCUAAAGCAAGAGUUUGCCAACCAGGGAAGGGGAGCAUGGGCAAAGCACAGAGGAGUGAAAAAAGAUGGCAUUGUUUGCUUUGCAGCAAGCCAUUAUAGAGGCAGUGUGUGCCCCAAGCAGAAAGAGUGGCCGUGUCAAGCCCCUUCCCUGGAAACUAUGCUCAGCCGCCACACCUUUGAACCGUGUCUUGGUAUCCUUACUGCCUUAGCCAGGAUUCUGCAUGUGGUUAAGUGCUCAACAAAUAUUUGUUGAAAGAAUGAAUAAAUGAGGAAGCAUUUGUAUUAACAUUUUAAAGAUAGUCAGAAUUUCAACGUGUAGACGAAAAGCAGUCCAUGGAGAAGGGCUACAAAUUUGAGAACUUCAUCUAUAUUUGUUUGAUUUAGGAUCCAGAAGGUCCUAGAACAGUGUCUGGCUCACAGACACUUAAUGAAUAUUUUUGAAUGAAGAGAAUGAACCUAGGCAGAGAUCUCUAAAGAAUCUGGAGUGCUAUGGGGUGUGAGUAGUUCUGUUUGUCUAGACCCAAUAGUGCAUGAAGAAAAAUACUGAUAAAAAUGUUAGUUUCCCCUUUACCAUAGGCGCUAUUUGAUUAAGGCUCUUGCCUACUUUAAGCAUACAUCUAGGUCAGAUAAACUCAUGGGAAAACAUUAGAAAUCCUAUCCAGGUUGGGGCAGCAGCCUCUGAUGUUGGGAUUUUUAGACCAAAAAAGGGCAAAUUUAUAUAGUUAGGAUCGUUAUGUGGUGUUUAAGGCCUUUUCAGUAGGGACCCCUUUUCUUAAACUGCAUCCUGCUCCAGGCAACCUGAUGGCUUCUCUGGCCUAGGAUUAUCUUGGCUCCAGUCUGAUCUCUUAGGCCUUUAUGCCUAGAGCCUCAGUGGUUAUAAAUGCUCAUGCUGGCCAUAACCACAGACAUAAUCUGAAACCCCCUUUAGGGAGGUGGGGUACCAAUGAAACCUUAAACUAGUUGUGUAAGUCCUUCAGAGAGAAUCAUUCAGACCCUUUGCCCACUGGAAUUCCCCGGUUGGCCCUAAACUUUAUCACUCAUUUCCUUGCCUUCUUCCCAUUCUCCUCCUGCCUGGGUCUAUUCUCCUUUCUUGACUAAUAGGCUAUAGACUCCAAGAAACCUAGAGCGCAAACCCCUUCAACUUUCCUGUUCUUUGGCCAUCUAUUAACAUUUGACUUCAGAAAACAUUACUGGCAUAUUACUGUGAAUCAGAUUUCCAAAAUGUCCAAUAUCACCGAUGCUAUGGGUAGACCUCUUUGUGGUAAGAGCACAGUUAAAAUGUCUUACUUAUGUUGGGAGUGCCUUUUGGAUCUUUCUCUUGGAUUUUUUUUUCCUUCCUGGGAUUGAUUAUCCUUCUUUGAAUUUUUCUGCCACAGAAAAUGCCCUGGGGCUUCCUCCCACUUGGGAGAGAACUGGAGAGAGGAGUCAGGAGGUGUCCAGAAGAAGGGAGGAGUGGAACAUGAUGCAGGAUGUAGGCUAGGCAGAAGGAAUCCUGUGGCCCCAAGGUAGUAAUGCCUAGCUCACCUGUGUAGAGUAUUCAUUCAAGAUCUGGGUCAAGGCCCUGGCUACAGUGUUCCUUGGCCUGGAGUAUCCUCAGCAUGUCUCUUCUAUAGGGACUUGGGUUAUAACCACAUUAGGCAGUUGGCCACAAUUCAAUGGUUUGAAUAUUCUGCUCCUGGCCUUAUACUAUCAUGAAUAAAGAUCAAGCAUUCAUGAAAUUCCAGAGAAAGAUUCAACUCUUAACAAAGAUCUUAGGGAGAGACACCACAUUACUGAACUCAAAUCAAUAUAUGCUGUUUGGGGAAAAAAACAAUAUAUAGUUUUCAAACAUACAAACCUAUGCAUGGUUAGUACAUACUAUAGUGUAUGUUUGAAAUCUGAUAUACAAACAGUAUAUAUUUACUGUUCGUAAUGUAUGUUUGGAAACUAUUUAAUCCUCUUUUGUAAAUGUUUGCUUGAAUUAAAACAACAGAACAACCCCGUUGGCACCCCCAAAGGGGAUACAGAGAUCUAGGGGAGAAUUC